rnacentral:rRNA from 1 species
GGGCACCACCAGGGGGUGCUGCUGCGGCUUAUUUGACUCAACACGGGAAAUCUCACCACGCCCGGACACCGGAAGGAUUCACAGAUUAACAGCUCUUUCUUGAUUCGGUGGGUGGUGGUGCAUGGCCGUUCUUAGUUGGUGGAGCGAUUUGUCUGGUUAAUUCCGGUAACGAACGAGACUCUAGCCUGCUAAAUAGGCGUCGUCAUUUAGGUGUGCUCGACUUCGGUCGUGCAACUCACUGGCGACGUAUUAAAAUUCUUCUUAGAGGGACCGGUGGCUUCGAGCCACACGAGAUUGAGCAAUAACAGGUCUGUGAUGCCCUUAGAUGUCCUGGGCCGCACGCGCGCUACACUGAAGGAAUCA